AUCUCCUUCAUCACCAUGGCAACAGCCUUAUCUGCCGCCCUAGAGCCUUUUCCCUAUAACAGUGAAAUCAACAAUGACUGUGUCAGGAGAGAUCUUUAACUUAUUAUUUAUUACAAGAUAUUCUAAUGUUUAAAGAGCAAUCCAACAUAAAUGAAGAGAACAUAAGAAACAGCAUACACAAUACUGGACAUCACAGGACCCUCUCCGGCUGGAUACCAGGCUGUAGAACCACCAGAUGCUUCAGAUGAGAAAGGUUGGAUCUGUUUCACAGGGAAGGGGCUAAACUGUUUCAAGAGGCGACCACGCGCUGGGCACUCUGUACUUUGCAACCUACCAAGUAUCAUCACAAGAGCUAUGAAAGUGAAGAGAGACAUACGUUAUCUAAGAAUCUGAGAGAGAUGACUCAGUCAGCAUCCUCUCUCUUGGUGUACAAUGGUAGGGACAGCUACUGUGUCAUCUGGAGCAUGACAAUGAGAACACAGACACUGGAUCGUCCUGAUAUAGCCUGCAGUCCAUCUGGGCCUCUAGACAUUCAUUUGCAUUUGCAUUCAUGCGCAUCCCCUACUACUCCAACUCCUACACCUUUUGGCAGGAUAUAUCCACACAGCUGGAUUGGAAUCACAAGAUGUUUUUAUUUUUUGCCUCAUUAAACUAGUUUCUCUCAAGCAA